AUUCCAGCUCCAAUAGCGUAUAUUAAAGUUGUUGCAGUUAAAAAGCUCGUAGUUGGAUUUCUGGUGGGAGCGAUCGGUCUGGCGCUUAGCGCGAGUACUUGCAUCGUCUCCGGCCAUCCUUGGGGAGAGUUUGUCUGGCAUUAAGUUGUCGGGCAGAGGAUCCUCAUCGUUUACUGUGAAAAAAUUAGAGUGUUCAAAGCAGGCUUAUGCCGUUGAAUAUAUUAGCAUGGAAUAAUAAGAUAGGACCUUGGUACUAUUUUGUUGGUUUGCGCACCAAAGUAAUGAUUAAUAGGGAUAGUUGGGGGUGCUAGUAUUGAGCGGCCAUAGGUGAAAUUCUUGGAUUCGCUCAAGACUAACUUAUGCGAAAGCAUUCACCAAGGAUGUCUUCAUUA
rnacentral:rRNA from 1 species